rnacentral:tRNA from 1 species
GCGCCAAUAGCUCAGUUGGAUAGAGCAACGGCCUUCUAAGCCGUAGGUCGCGGGUUCGAAUCCCUCUUGGCGUA